rnacentral:piRNA from 1 species
UCCUUUUCUGGGACAUGUUGCUGUCUGCC